GACGAACGCUGGCGGCGUGCUUAACACAUGCAAGUCGAACGGAAAGGCCUGCUUUCCCUUGUGGAUUGCGGGUACUCGAGUGGCGAACGGGUGAGUAACACGUGAGUGAUCUGCCCCCAACUUGGGUAUAAGCCUGGGAAACUGGGUCUAAUUCCCGAUAGGACUGCAGGGUGGUGCCUGUGGUGGAAAACGAUUUUCUAGUGGUUGGGGAUGAGCUCGCGGCCUAUCAGCUUGUUGGUGGGGUAAUGGCCUACCAAGGCGGCGACGGGUAGCCGGCCUGAGAGGGUGGACGGCCACAUUGGGACUGAGAUACGGCCCAAACUCCUACGGGAGGCAGCAGUGGGGAAUAUUACACAAUGGGCGGAAGCCUGAUGCAGCGACGCCGCGUGGGGGAUGACGGCCUUCGGGUUGUAAACUCCUUUCGACCGCGAGGAAGCCACCUGGUUGGAAGGGUGGUGACGGUAGUGGUAGAAGAAGCACCGGCUAACUACGUG
rnacentral:rRNA from 1 species